CUGUUCUUGCAACUUAUUUGCUCUCUUCAUAAAUUCAACAUCUUGGGUUGUCUUUACCUCCAUAUUCUGCCGCACUUCAAAAUUUACCCAAUUAAAAGUUCCACAUUCUGGAUUCGUUUCUGGGUCUGAAUCUUUUCUCUUGCUCUGAUCCAGCUUGAUUUCAGGACAGUUUUUAGAAAAGAGUUUAUCUGUCUUGGUGAACUUUCCUUGCUCAUUCAUAGUGUUAGUAUGGGCACCUUUGACAUCUUGACACUUAUGAAUACUUUCUUCAAACGAUUUGACAUCUUGUGAAUGGACUUCUACAGGAGAUGACAUCAGAUGAGACUGCAGUGAUGGACGACGCAACCUUUGAUGAGCAGGAGAGCAGCUCUGACCUCUACUAGAGUCAACAGAUGAUCCUUCAGUUAAGAAUGAUGAAUUAGUACUUGAGAGCGAAUGCCUGCUACUUCUGUGUGAGAGCGAAUGCCUGCUACUUCUGUGUGGUAUCUGUUUUUGGCUACACUGCCACUUUUCUAAACGACCCCAAUCAAGGACCCCGACAUUUAAAACUUUCUCCUGCCGAUUUUCUCCUCUCUCCAGAUAACUUGGCAAAUUUGACAUAUACUUGACA
rnacentral:misc_RNA from 1 species